rnacentral:rRNA from 1 species
UACGUAGGGACCUAGCGUUGUCCGGAAUCAUUGGGCGUAAAGCGCGCGUAGGCGGCCCGGUAAGUCCGUUGUAAAAGUCGAAGGCUCAACCUUCGAAAGCCGAUGGAUACUGCCGGGCUAGAGUCCGGAAGAGGCGAGUAGAAUUCCUGGUGUAGCGGUGGAAUGCGCAGAUAUCAGGAGGAACACCGGUGGCGAAGGCGGAUCUCUGGGCCUUACCUGACGCUGAGGCGCGAAAGCUAGGGGAGCGAACAGG